rnacentral:rRNA from 1 species
AGAGUUUGAUCAUGGCUCAGAUUGAACGCUGGCGGCAGGCCUAACACAUGCAAGUCGAGCGGUAGCACAGAGAGCUUGCUCUCGGGUGACGAGCGGCGGACGGGUGAGUAAUGUCUGGGAAACUGCCUGAUGGAGGGGGAUAACUACUGGAAACGGUAGCUAAUACCGCAUAACGUCGCAAGACCAAAGUGGGGGACCUUCGGGCCUCAUGCCAUCAGAUGUGCCCAGAUGGGAUUAGCUAGUAGGUGGGGUAACGGCUCACCUAGGCGACGAUCCCUAGCUGGUCUGAGAGGAUGACCAGCCACACUGGAACUGAGACACGGUCCAGACUCCUACGGGAGGCAGCAGUGGGGAAUAUUGCACAAUGGGCGCAAGCCUGAUGCAGCCAUGCCGCGUGUGUGAAGAAGGCCUUCGGGUUGUAAAGCACUUUCAGCGGGGAGGAAGGCGUUAAGGUUAAUAACCUCAUCGAUUGACGUUACCCGCAGAAGAAGCACCGGCUAACUCCGUGCCAGCAGCCGCGGUAAUACGGAGGGUGCAAGCGUUAAUCGGAAUUACUGGGCGUAAAGCGCACGCAGGCGGUCUGUCAAGUCGGAUGUGAAAUCCCCGGGCUCAACCUGGGAACUGCAUUCGAAACUGGCAGGCUAGAGUCUUGUAGAGGGGGGUAGAAUUCCAGGUGUAGCGGUGAAAUGCGUAGAGAUCUGGAGGAAUACCGGUGGCGAAGGCGGCCCCCUGGACAAAGACUGACGCUCAGGUGCGAAAGCGUGGGGAGCAAACAGGAUUAGAUACCCUGGUAGUCCACGCCGUAAACGAUGUCGAUUUGGAGGUUGUGCCCUUGAGGCGUGGCUUCCGGAGCUAACGCGUUAAAUCGACCGCCUGGGGAGUACGGCCGCAAGGUUAAAACUCAAAUGAAUUGACGGGGGCCCGCACAAGCGGUGGAGCAUGUGGUUUAAUUCGAUGCAACGCGAAGAACCUUACCUGGUCUUGACAUCCACAGAACUUUCCAGAGAUGGAUUGGUGCCUUCGGGAACUGUGAGACAGGUGCUGCAUGGCUGUCGUCAGCUCGUGUUGUGAAAUGUUGGGUUAAGUCCCGCAACGAGCGCAACCCUUAUCCUUUGUUGCCAGCGGUCCGGCCGGGAACUCAAAGGAGACUGCCAGUGAUAAACUGGAGGAAGGUGGGGAUGACGUCAAGUCAUCAUGGCCCUUACGACCAGGGCUACACACGUGCUACAAUGGCAUAUACAAAGAGAAGCGACCUCGCGAGAGCAAGCGGACCUCAUAAAGUAUGUCGUAGUCCGGAUUGGAGUCUGCAACUCGACUCCAUGAAGUCGGAAUCGCUAGUAAUCGUAGAUCAGAAUGCUACGGUGAAUACGUUCCCGGGCCUUGUACACACCGCCCGUCACACCAUGGGAGUGGGUUGCAAAAGAAGUAGGUAGCUUAACCUUCGGGAGGGCGCUUACCACUUUGUGAUUCAUGACUGGGGUGAAGUCGUAACAAGGUAACCGUAGGGGAACCUGCGGUUGGAUCACCUCCUUA